ACAUAAUUACCUUUCCAACAUUUUAUCUGAUCUCCUUGUUUUACUUCUCUAAGAUGAGCUGAACAACAGCCAAUCAACCACCCCCACAGAAACCAUGGAAAUGCACAGGCCACCCUUGGACCAUGACAUACAGGGCAUCUGACUGAUAGUCCCACCAAGACUGCCUAUGAUCAUUUUACUCCUGCAGAGAAAGAUGUGCCUAAAAGAGAAGCAGCACCUACCUGGAAGACUCAGGAGACAAAGAGGGAAAGAGUGGGACACAGUGGAUUAUGCUCACCCUGAGGGUUAUCUGAGAAGAUUUCUGAGAACCUGAGAGUCUCAAAUGCCUGAGAGGUGGGAGCUGCAUAGAGAGGAACAGAAAUGAAUCCCCAAGAUUUCCUGGGCUGAGCCUAACAGGAUAUGAGAAGCAGAAACUUCUGGAUUGUGAGAAGAAACAAAGGAAGAAGAGAGAUGCUCUAUAGGAGAAAAAUCACAGACAAUAAGUGGGGAGAGCAAGAAGACAAAGUUUUGUUACUUUAAUUCACCACUCCUAUCCCCAGCCACCAGUGGCCAUCCUGUACUGGAUUCUAAACCCAGGGCCCUAA